UGCGAGUNUUGUAGCAAUACAAGGCGGACGGCUCAGUAACACGUAGUCAACCUAACUCGUGGACGUGGAUAACCUCGGGAAACUGAGAAUAAACCACGAUAGAUCAUAGUGCCUGGAAUGGCUUAUGGUCCAAACAGUUUACUGCCAUGGGAUGGGACUGCGGCCUAUCAGCUUGUUGGUGAGGUAAUGGCCCACCAAGGCGAUUACAGGUACGGGCUCUGAGAGGAGUAGCCCGGAGAUGGGUACUGAGACACGGACCCAGGCCCUAUGGGGCGCAGCAGGCGAGAAACCUUAGCAAUGUGCGAAAGCACGACUGGGUCAGUCCGAGUGAUUCCUGAUAAAGGAGUCUUUUGCCUGUCCUAAAAGCACAGGUGAAUAAGGGGUGGGCAAGUCUGGUGUCAGCCGCCGCGGUAAUACCAGCACCUCGAGUGGUCAGGACGUUUAUUGGGCCUAAAGCAUCCGUAGCCGGCUCUGCAAGUCUUCGGUUAAAUCCACCUGCUCAACAGAUGGGCCGCUGGAGAUACUACAGAGCUAGGGAGUGGGAGAGGCAGACGGUAUUCAGUGGGUAGGGGUAAAAUCCUCUGAUCCAUUGAGGACCACCAGUGGCGAAGGCGGUCUGCCANAACACGUUCGACGGUGAGGGAUGAAAGCUGGGGGAGCAAACCGGAUUAGAUACCCGGGUAGUCCCAGCUGUAAACGAUGCAAACUCGGUGAUGCAUUGGCUUAUGGCCAAUGCAGUGCCGCAGGGAAGCCGUUAAGUUUGCCGCCUGGGAAGUACGGACGCAAGUCUGAAACUUAAAGGAAUUGGCGGGGGAGCACCACAAGGGGUGAAGCCUGCGGUUCAAUUGGAGUCAACGCCGGAA
rnacentral:rRNA from 1 species